rnacentral:rRNA from 1 species
UCCUACGGGAGGCAGCAGUGGGGAAUUUUCCGCAAUGGGCGAAAGCCUGACGGAGCAACGCCGCGUGAGGGAUGAAGGCCUCUGGGCUGUAAACCUCUUUUAUCAAGGAAGAAGAUCUGACGGUACUUGAUGAAUAAGCCACGGCUAAUUCCGUGCCAGCAGCCGCGGUAAUACGGGAGUGGCAAGCGUUAUCCGGAAUUAUUGGGCGUAAAGCGUCCGCAGGCGGUCUGUCAAGUCUGCUGUUAAAGCGUGGAGCUUAACUCCAUUUCGGCAGUGGAAACUGACAGACUAGAGUGUGGUAGGGGCAGAGGGAAUUCCCGGUGUAGCGGUGAAAUGCGUAGAUAUCGGGAAGAACACCAGUGGCGAAGGCGCUCUGCUGGGCCAUAACUGACGCUCAUGGACGAAAGCCAGGGGAGCGAAAGGGAUUAGAUACCCCUGUAGUCCUGGCCGUAAACGAUGAACACUAGGUGUCGGGGGAAUCGACCCCCUCGGUGUCGUAGCCAACGCGUUAAGUGUUCCGCCUGGGGAGUACGCACGCAAGUGUGAAACUCAAAUGAAUUGACGGA